GCCUCUCAGAAGAGAACAUCUUCAUAGGAGAGGAGCUCUAGGAACUGAGAAUGCAGGAAAUUGGAAGAAAUAUACAUUAAUAGCCAAGAAUUUAGACAGGACUGGGGAGCCAGGAACAAACAUUUGAGAUGUUGGGCUUUUAAUGGAGUUGCCACGGAUGACAGCAUCAUGAGAAAUGAGGUUUAAAAAUGGAGGAUUGUUCGAGGAGGGAGGAGGGCUGAUCUGAAAGCCACAAGGAGGACAAAUGGAACACCUACCCCCACUACAGGCUGGAAGGAAACAUGGAUGAACAUGGCCAGGGAGAGAGGAAAAGGAUGAAAGAACAAGGUGCC
rnacentral:lncRNA from 10 species